GUGAGGAAUAUUGCGCAAUGGAGGCAACUCUGACGCAGCCAUGCCGCGUGCAGGAAGAAGGCGCUACGCGUUGUAAACUGCUUUUAACCGGGAAGAAACCCCAGGACGUGUCCUGGGUUGACGGUACCGGAGGAAUAAGCACCGGCUAACUUCGUGCCAGCAGCCGCGGUAAUACGAAGGGGGCAAGCGUUAUCCGGAUUCAUAGGGUUUAAAGGGUGCGUAGGCGGAGCGUUAAGUCAGUGGUGAAAUCCUGCAGCUUAACGCUAGACUUGCCAUUGAUACUGGCGCUCUUGAGUGCGCUUGAAGUGGGCGGAAUGUGCCGUGUAGCGGUGAAAUGCUUAGAUAUGGCACAGAACACCAAUUGCGAAGGCAGCUCACUAAGGCGAUACUGACGCUGAGGCACGAAAGCGUGGGGAUCGAACAGGAUUAGAAACCCUUGUAGUCC
rnacentral:rRNA from 1 species